GAAGCCAAAGACUGUUACCUGUUACUGUUGAAGACUGAAUUACUCACAGACUGCCACUGACAGUGCACUUGUGUAUAUGUGUUUGUACGUGUACGAUGAUCAAUAAAGCUGAUCUCGAGGGGAAAAAAACAACACUGACAUUUCUCUCCAACGACAUGGGGAAAAGGUUGCGACCGUAGUCUCUAUUUCACCUGUGCUCCAGCAGUAACACUGUUACUCAGCUCUAAUCAGUGAGUCAAUUUGACCAGUGGUUAGCAAUAAAUAACACAGACAGAGAAGGAUGUCAUCUAAAGCCUGACAACAUUGAUAAAGACUCAUUUUCUACGCUGCAUUUGUAAACGCUGCUGUUAUGAAUAAAUCUGCAGAGAUGUCACAGGAGAGAGAUUCCCUCAGCUUCUCUGACACAGUGUCAUAUGGACUAUAGCGGUGAAAAAAUGACCAGAUUAUAGGCAUACUUAAGUGGAAGGUCAAAGAGUCAACAUGAACGUAGCCAGAGAAGAAUCUCACUGCGUUCUAUAGGCUUCUAUAGGUUGAACUGCAAAUGAGCCCAUGCUGCCUUCAAGUGCACUUAGGUCAGCAUAUUAUGUAAACAUUCAAAGGAAACCACUUCACCACCAAACCUCCGUUAUAUCCCAGAGCCUGUGGUGCAGCUUUUCUCACAGAUGGAUUUCUUUCAUGGAGCCAAAGAAGAUAAUAAUCUGAAUUCAAAGAUAACAGCUGAGGAGCUCCGUCCUGGCUGGAGCAUCAUAUUGUAGAAAAGAUGUUCACACAUUUGUACGACACGCUGUGCUGCAACUUAGAAAUCUUGAGAGUGUGCUAGUGAAAUGAUCAAAUGAUAGUGCAGAGACUUCAGACUGGAGUGUGGUGGCGCUGAAGACACUCAGAGGAAGGACCUUUGAUCACACAGUUGUCCUGACUUCACUGAGAUGAAUGGUCUCAGAGCAGAUGUCACUCCAUCAAAGAUGUUAGGCUGAGACGGAGCGAUGAGUCCGACUGGAGGACAGAGCUAAAAUGGAUCAAUUCAAAUGGAUUUUCUUUUUCUUUUUAGACAAUAAUACAUGACUGUAACGUUGUCUAUUGAUCAAUUUUAACUCGCAUUGAUCACAGGGUGGCUGUAAUUGUGCCUAAUCACAAUGAAUUAUACUUUUCCUGACAUGCAGUUGUUGUUGUUGACUGAACAGGUGUUCAGUAUGUAAGGAGGAAUACAUUUGAAGAUCUUGAUAUCGUCUCCUUCCCUGAAUUGUUAUCUAGGAAAUAUUAAUCCCUGUGGCUUCUCUUUGUUUGUGAUGCAAUGCUAACAAUCUAAUAGUUACCGUGCAAAUUACUCAACAAUUACUGCUCUUCCUGUUCAAAGGAAGACAACCGCCGCCUGAAAAUGAUGUGUCUAUUUACACUUAAAGACACAUGAGUGUUUAGAGGCGUCACAACUGCCUGUUGAUUUAAUUCCCAGCAUGCACAUUUAAUUAUCAGAGAAUAAAGGCUCUUACAUUCACGACACAAUCCUGUAUGCAUUAGUUAUCACAUAAAGCCGUGCCAGGAAAAUCAUUAAACCCUAUGCCAUUUUUAUCAUAGUGGAAGAUGAGUGUGUGUGUCAUGUUGGAGAGAUGUGACGUUCACGACGAGGGAAAUAUGUGCUGCAAAAAAUUGCCCUCUGCACGGCCAGCGUAAAGCCAAGGGAAAGUGAGUGAAGCUUUGAACAGCAGGUGAUGAGGUAAAAAGUAUGGUUUGGUAAUGACAGGCCCUGGAGGUGCAUCUGCUCAUGCAUCAAAGCUGCCUGAUGGGAUAAAGCGAGCUGCUAUUCAGACGCUGAAAAUGUGUACGAUAUGAAACUAAAUGGCAAGACAACAUCCCCUUCUCUCAGCCGCAGCCAUGUGCAGCCUGAUGUAAAAAUGUUCUGCGGGAGGUGAAGCCCAUUAUCCACUAACUACCCAGAGAGGGGCCAUCAGAUUGGACUCACUUUGCAGAUGUUACCUCCUAUUUUCAACAGUGAAUGAGGUGCAGCUUUCCCACGGCGGUGGAGUAAAAAACAUAUGAAGUCUGCUCAGUGAUCCAGAACGAGAACACACAGUUCAGUUUAUGAACUCCAUGAAUUUUAGUACGCAAAGGGGAAUGUAAGACGUAACGCUCCCCUCAGGAAAUAAAUGAUACAGGCUUUUAUACAAAAUUACAUUUGAAUAUGAACACGGGGGCUGAAUUCCAAAACUACGUUAAUCAAAACAGAAAAAACAGCAAAAAAAAAAAAAAAAAUAGGUCUUAGUUCAUCAUCAAUAACUUAUUUGAUUUAGAUUUAUUUAAAUUCUCCUGCAGAUUGAGGCUCUACACCCCUAUGUUGCUCAGACCUGGAAGAUGAGGGCACAUGAACAGCCCACCGCCCAGACACUGUGUGGUGGUCAGCCUGGAAUACAGACUGGAAAACAGUCGGAGUCGAAUUAACAGCGCUCAUGCAGGAAUGUAGGGACGAGAGCAGGGAGGCGGGGCUAGCUCCAGUGGAAAUCAACAGCAGAGGAUUUAAAGCUAAAUCCAGCUAAGAAUCCAUCAGCUCGUAGGACAGACAGAAGAAGCAGAACAAGCUUCUCUGUGGAUGUGGAGCAGACGGGGAGGAAGGAAGCAGGAAGUCAGGAGCAGAUGGACGGUGAUUUGGCCUCCACUGUCGGCCCACCAGCUGGGGAGUGUUGUGGUUGAGAGCCAAAACACUCAGUGAUGGUUGGGCACCAGCUGAUGACGUCAGCCCGUGGCUGGAGGCUACAGUUACUUCACUGAAGCUGAUGGCAGAUGUUAAAGAGAUCCAUACCGUGAAAAGGAGUUGUCAAAGAUGAGGAUGUAGUGACCGGGGUGACGGACUUUGAGCUGACCCUGAACUGUCUCUUCAUGAGAAUUGCAGCGAGUCAGAGGAAUCAGCACCUGAGAGCAAAACAGAGAAGUGGUUUUAAACAAAAUAAAAAAGAAUAGAUCAU